AGCUUUGCGCAGCAGCAGUAUCAUAGCCAGUGAGGUUUAUCUGAGGCGGAUUAUUGCUCAUUGAAAACUUUUCCCAGUUUACUGCAACCUGGGAUUGGGUUUUGCAGCUGGGACCGUUAAAAUCAAUAUUUUGUUUAACGCAGCAGUGGCAACAUGAAAUAUUUUGAGUUUUACUUGCUGGGGGUUAAA
rnacentral:snRNA from 1 species